GCUGUGCAGUUAUUGCCUCUGUUCUAACACAGGGAAGCCUAGGCUUGUGUUAUAAACAGAGGCAGUAACUCUGCACUGC
rnacentral:pre_miRNA from 1 species